AGCGUUAUCGAAACACCGGUUUCCGUACCAUCACCGAAGUUAAGCAACGUCCAGCCUGGUCACUAUUUAGAUGGGUGACCGUUUGGGAAUACCAGGUGCUGUCAG